AUCACGGAAGCAAGACUUUCAAAAUGUUUUUCUCUCACACUUUUAUACAUAAAAGUAUUAUGCUAAUUGGGUUUAGAAAUAAAUUACACCCCCUAUCCCCAAAACCAAAGUGUAUAAACCUUUACUCAUGUCUGUACAGUACCUUAAAAUAAAGUCCGUGAUAAUUUGAAAGAUACCUCAGUGACAAUAAAUAAAGCGUUCCUUCAAACUUCAAAGACUUAAACUAAAGUGGACAGAUUAUGUUGCCUUAAAUAAAAAGAGGGAAUUUGUCCAAGAGUAGUUAAAGCGGGGGCACUUUAAAUUCUGAUUAUACUUAUGAUACAAAAAUAAAGACAUAUUUUA